rnacentral:lncRNA from 1 species
AAGUACAAAGGAAAAAUUAUUUUAGAGAUGUAUCUCUGGAAUCAUCCUUAAAUCAUAUCAUAAGAGCAUCAUUUUUCAAACAUUCAAUUUUUUGUGAGGUUAACGUAUAUUAACCUAUAUUAACAUAAAAUCAAAGUAAAUUGAAGUUAUAUUGAAGUCAAAGGAAAGUAAAAAUUCAUACAUUAAUAAAAAAAAGUCAAGAAAAUUCAUACAUAACAUUUUUU